GCCUCGGUAGCGCAGUCCGGAAGCGCGAAUCCUUGGUAAGGGUUAGGUCGCCGGUUCAAAUCCGGCCCGAGGCA
rnacentral:tRNA from 1 species